GAAUAACUGGGCGUAAAGGGCACGCAGGCGGUGACUUAAGUGAGGUGUGAAAGCCCCGGGCUUAACCUGGGAAUUGCAUUUCAUACUGGGUCGCUAGAGUACUUUAGGGAGGGGUAGAAUUCCACGUGUAGCGGUGAAAUGCGUAGAGAUGUGGAGGAAUACCGAAGGCGAAGGCAGCCCCUUGGGAAUGUACUGACGCUCAUGUGCGAAAGCGUGGGGAGCAAACAGGAUUAGAUACCCUGGUAGUCCACGCUGUAAACGAUGUCGAUUUGGGGGUUGAGCUUUAAGCUUGGCGCCCGUAGCUAACGUGAUAAAUCGACCGCCUGGGGAGUACGGCCGCAAGGUUAAAACUCAAAUGAAUUGACGGGGGCCCGCACAAGCGGUGGAGCAUGUGGUUUAAUUCGAUGCAACGCGAAGAACCUUACCUACUCUUGACAUCCAGAGAACUUUCCAGAGAUGGAUUGGUGCCUUCGGGAACUCUGAGACAGGUGCUGCAUGGCUGUCGUCAGCUCGUGUUGUGAAAUGUUGGGUUAAGUCC
rnacentral:rRNA from 1 species